AUUGGCUCGCGCAAAACACUCGGAAUUCGAAUUUGGCAAACCAAACGGAUACGCAAAACAAGCAGUGAGAAACUUUUAAGUGACCGAUGCCACCGACAGGGAGGGGAAUGGACAACAAAGGCCCAAAACCAAAAUUGUCACAAGAGGUUGAACAAACAUCUGCAUAUUGUGACAAUUCUCCAGCAAAAAACAAAAAAGCGCACAGUAGUAAAACACCAGCUUCAAUCUCUUC